rnacentral:rRNA from 1 species
AUUUUAGUGCUUGCACUAAAUGAAACUAGAUACAAGCGAGCGGCGGACGGGUGAGUAACACGUGGGUAACCUGCCCAAGAGACUGGGAUAACACCUGGAAACAGAUGCUAAUACCGGAUAACAACACUAGACGCAUGUCUAGAGUUUGAAAGAUGGUUCUGCUAUCACUCUUGGAUGGACCUGCGGUGCAUUAGCUAGUUGGUAAGGUAACGGCUUACCAAGGCAAUGAUGCAUAGCCGAGUUGAGAGACUGAUCGGCCACAUUGGGACUGAGACACGGCCCAAACUCCUACGGGAGGCAGCAGUAGGGAAUCUUCCACAAUGGACGAAAGUCUGAUGGAGCAACGCCGCGUGAGUGAAGAAGGGUUUCGGCUCGUAAAGCUCUGUUGGUAGUGAAGAAAGAUAGAGGUAGUAACUGGCCUUUAUUUGACGGUAAUUACUUAGAAAGUCACGGCUAACUACGUGCCAGCAGCCGCGGUAAUACGUAGGUGGCAAGCGUUGUCCGGAUUUAUUGGGCGUAAAGCGAGUGCAGGCGGUUCAAUAAGUCUGAUGUGAAAGCCUUCGGCUCAACCGGAGAAUUGCAUCAGAAACUGUUGAACUUGAGUGCAGAAGAGGAGAGUGGAACUCCAUGCGG